UUCCCGUGUUACUGAAAGCCCCGGCUGCAGAGGCAGGUUUAUUUAUAGAUGGGAAAUUAGAGUUAUUUAGCUUGAGCUCUUUGCAACCAGCAGCCCAUGACUGUAGGAGCAUCCACAUCCACUGCACCAUCGUCUGAUCCCCCCGCACCCUGUAAUCAUUAAUUAGACACUCAAAACCAUGCCCACUGGAUGUCUGUGGAGAGAGAAGCCCCAUCCAGCCCUUUUCCAUCAGAAACCAGAGUCUUCCGAGCUCAGACUCCCACACACCAACUACUUACUAGAGAGUUCUGCCUGGAGAUUUCGCAAUCCCGUUAGAUGCGGCCAAGAGUGAACUCACUCACAACCCCCAACCUCUUCCUGAUUGUGGUGAAUGGAGCCAGCAUUCCCCAGACUCCAAUCUGGAGAGCUGUCCUGGCCUCCCUGCAUCCCAUCUGUCGCCAUCAGCUAGAUCCACAGUGCUCCUCUCAUCUCCUCUGAUGCAGGACAAGGCAGAAUUCUGCACGUCCUCCUAUGUUCUUGAAGUUUCUGGAACACAGGUCUUUGAUGCCUGUCCUCUUGGGACUGGAAUGCUGACUCAAGGUCUGGAGCUGGAGCAGCCUUCUGUGGCCAUGAGAAAGAAGCCACCUGUUGAAAAGGGUAGAACAAAACACAAGGAACACAGAGUUCUGAGAGCCAGCAUACCAGACUUGGGUUGCCUAUUUACGUGAGAGAUAAAGACAUUUUUUUUUUUUUUAAAAACAGUUAUUUUUCUGAUGUGAAAAAAUUGCCUUUUGGGAAACUUGACAUUCUGUUCUC